UGAGGAAUAUUGGUCAAUGGGCGAAAGCCUGAACCAGCAACGCCGCGUGAGGGAUGAAGGCCUUCGGGUCGUAAACCUCUUUUCUGGGAGAAGAGACAAGGACGGUAUCCCAGGAAUAAGUCUCGGCUAACUACGUGCCAGCAGCCGCGGUAAAACGUAGGAGGCAAGCGUUAUCCGGAUUUAUUGGGCGUAAAGCGCACGCAGGCGGUUAUGUAAGUCGGGCGUUAAAGCUCCUAGCUCAACUGGGAGAGGUCGUUCGAAACUGCAUAGCUUGAGGUUGGAAGAGGAGAGCGGAACUCCCGGUGUAGUGGUGGAAUGCGUAGAUAUCGGGAAGAACACCAGUGGCGAAGGCGGCUCUCGUGGUCCAAAUCGUGACGCUCAUGUGCGAAAGCGUGGGUAG
rnacentral:rRNA from 1 species